UUUAGAACUGGAAAUUCAGGGCAAUUAUGAAGCAAUUAUUUUCCAGAGCUUUUCAAGGCUGUUUUAUAUGACUCUUUCUGCCGUUUCUGUUGCUUUAGGGUAACGCUCAGGUCCCUGCUCUUGGUCAGCCCGUUGACAAGCUCUCUGCACCAAGCCAUGGACUCCACCAUGAGGAACUGGUUCCCUACACCCCACUCAUGGCCUGGCUGAGGAAUGCCAACCCAGUUCUGUUCUCUGAUCUCCCCAAGGUCUAUGCCCAGAACCUCAGCAGACUCUAUGACCGGGAAAUCAAAGCCUUUUUUGAAAGAGCCAAGACCUUCUUGUUAGGAAGAAGAAAAGGAAGUCUUCAGGAAAGCUUAGAGAAGCCGCUGGCGAUGGGGAGCAGGCAGCAGGCUCGGUGGAGCCUCCCUGGGAGCAGAGAAGGCCAGGAGGACACACCGGUCAAACACAAUGUCACCAAGGUAAGGAGCUGAGGUUUUCCAACGGGUUCACGUGUCCCAUGGGGGCUGUGCCAGUGCUGCAACCCCUCCCAUGGGCCUUUCUCUAGCGCUGCAUACCCAGAGCAGAAGCAGAGAUGCUCUGUACUGCCGACCUGGCUUAGAUGUCACUUCAGGUGGAGAUGGACAUCUACUCCAGUGUCCUCAGUGUGUGCUAGAAGGGUAUUCUAACUUGCCUGAUGGUUUCUAAGUAGAUGUUGGAGCAAGUGCUGAGAGAGCUGCAGCCCCUUUGCACCGCGGAGCAACAGUUCAUUGAG
rnacentral:lncRNA from 1 species